ACCUGGCUGGCUCAGUCAGUGGAGUGCACAACUCUUGAUCCUGGGGUUGUGGGUUCGAGCCCCACAUUGGGUG
rnacentral:tRNA from 1 species